GGAAACAUCAACUCAAGAUGAACACUUCCAUCGCAAUCCUGCUCAUUCUCUCACUCGAGUUUACUGGUGAGUUUUCUGUGUCUGGUGAUCGUUUAGAAAGAUUGUAUCGUUCACUGAAUGGUCAUCAUGUAUUUAUAUUGUGUAGUCUAUAGCUAAGUGUAAUUCAAAUGUAAUAUGAAGAUCUCUUUACAGAACCUUCAAUGUCAGCCUUCGUAUUGUUGGAUAUAUAGUGGGGUUUCAGCAAAGAUACUUAAAUAUGUCUCUUGUGUUACUCAUCAUGGCAGGGACAUGAGAUAAAUGUAUGAAUUAAAGUCCUACUGGAGGUAUUCAGUGUCCUUUAUAAUUAUACCGGUAUUUUACAUGUCAGAGGUAUUUCGAUAUAUUCCAUCAAUACAAGUUCCUGAGGAACGAGGUAGAUGAGAUAUAUUCAGGUAGUUUAAUAGCAAUAAACAUUGAGUAGCUACAACAUUAAACCCACUGACAGGUAAAGUGUAUAACAUUGAUUAUAUCGUUACAAUGUCACUCGUCAUGGGUGGGAUAUAUUAGGCAGCAGGUGAACAGUCAGUUCUUAAAAUAUUUGUGUUUGAAGCAAGUAAAAUAGGCAAUUGAAAAGAUCAAAAGACUUUGUCAAGGGUCAAAUAUUUUCCCAGAUCUCAAUCCAAUUGCAGAAUUUAAAGGAUUUGCUGCUGUUUUGGUCCCACUUACCACAGGACAUGUAGAGCCCAUGUCUUGAUGUCAGGGGUAUAACUAGAGCAUUUGGCACCAGGGGCAGAUCGUGUGUUUGGCACCCUCCACCCCCCUCAAAUGUAAAAAACACCCGCUGCUUCAAAGUGUAUGCCUGGAGAUAUUCUGGAGAUAAACUGGAGGUAAUCUGAAGGUAAUCUGAGGUCAGGGCUGGUACAAGGAUUUCUGCCGUCGUAGGCAAACAAAAAUUUGCUGCCCCCAAUAUGCUCUGCCCACAAUGUGACAUCACAAUGCCCGCCCAUAUGUCCACAUACAUGGCCCACCCAUGAGUUCGCUCACAGGGAGUGGAGUUUGUGUGUAGGGGAUGUGUUAUGUGUUAUUGUAGAGGAUGCAAUGUGUGCGUGUUCUUAUGGAAUGUAGUGUAUAGGGAUACCAGUUUGUGUAACGGAUGCAGUGCGUGUUUGUAUGUAAGUAAUGCAUUGUGUGUUUCUGUGUGUGUGUGUGUGUGUGUAAGGGAUGCAUUGUGUGAAUCUGUGUUUGUAUAUGUAAGGGAUGCAAAAUGUGUUUCUGUGUAUGUAAUGUAAUGCAGUGUGUGUAAGAGAUGCAUUGUGUUUCUGUGUGUAAGGAAGCAGUGUGUGUGUGCGUCUGUGUGCGUGCGUAAGGGAUGCAUUGUAUGUUUUUGUAUGUAAGGGAUGCAGUGUGUGUAAUGGAUGCAUUGUGUGCUUUUGUGUAUGUGUGCAAGGGCUGCAUUGUGUGUGUAAUGGAUGCAUUGUGUGCUUGUGUGUAUGUGUGCAAGGGCUGCAUUGUGUGUGUGUGUGUAAUGGAUGUAUUGUGUGUUUCUGUGUGAGUGUAGGAUGCAUUGUAUAUUUCGGUGUGUCUGUGUUUGUGUAGGGAUGCAUUGUGUACGUGUGUAAUGUAGAAGAGUGGGCCGGUUGGGGAGGAUAGGGACUGAAAAGGGAGCAGCUAUUUAUUUUUAUUAUAUUUAUUUUGUUAAUAUAAUUUUUUUGUUUUUUUUCUUUAUGUUUUGUGUCUUACACUCCCCUUGUGUAUCUCUUACAAACUCCUUGUGUCUCUUAUCACCCCCUCUUUGUAUGUCUCCUACAUCCUCCCAACCCCUUUUUAUGUCUUACUUCCCCCCAGCUCCUCUGUCUUACUCUUCCCAACCCCUUUGUGUGUCCCCGUCCCCCCCCAAGCUUCUGUUUCCUGUACCCAGCCGGACUGGAAGAAAGUAAUAAUAUAUAUAAAUUAGAGUAUGUAUAAAAUUCUGAAAACUAAUCUAUUGUUUCUUAUCCCAUACAGGAUCAUUAUGUCAAAGUAACACAACUUCAGGUAAGCUAUAUAUAACAUAAUACCUAGCGCACUCACUCACUAAACAGCAAUUUCAAGUAUCACAGAUUGUAAUAGCUCAUUUUAAAAACACCUCACCUAGGUAACAUUAAUUAGUUACUGUAUGUGACCAUGUAUAAGCCUGCCACAACGUCAAUGUACCCCAUUCUUGGCAGGUCCUACUCUAGCAGCCUAAUGUCUACUAAUGAGACCGAUACACUUACUUGGGAAAUUCUUCCUCCUUGGACUCUCUGCAGGUCAAGGCUAAAUAGGAUCCUGGAAUGAGGCACCUGUGACACGGAGAGGUGCAAACCCUGGGAGUCGGCCUGGACUCCCAAAUAUAUUAAUACAAACGAGAGGCUGCACUCACCUGAACAUGCAGACAUUAUAGGAUGCUGCUGGGGCCAAUUCAUACAACAAACAUCCAACGCACUCAGUCACUAAACGAUAAUUUUAACGCUCACAACAUAUAAUACAUUUUUUUCAAACCACUAACCUAGG